rnacentral:rRNA from 1 species
GAUGAACGCUGGCGGCGUGCCUAAUACAUGCAAGUCGAGCGAACGGACGAGAAGCUUGCUUCUCUGAUGUUAGCGGCGGACGGGUGAGCAACACGUGGAUAACCUACCUAUAAGACUGGGAUAACUUCGGGAAACCGGAGCUAAUACCGGAUAAUAUUUUGAACCGCAUGGUUCAAAAGUGAAAGACGGUCUUGCUGUCACUUAUAGAUGGAUCCGCGCUGCAUUAGCUAGUUGGUAAGGUAACGGCUUACCAAGGCAACGAUGCAUAGCCGACCUGAGAGGGUGAUCGGCCACACUGGAACUGAGACACGGUCCAGACUCCUACGGGAGGCAGCAGUAGGGAAUCUUCCGCAAUGGGCGAAAGCCUGACGGAGCAACGCCGCGUGAGUGAUGAAGGUCUUCGGAUCGUAAAACUCUGUUAUUAGGGAAGAACAUAUGUGUAAGUAACUGUGCACAUCUUGACGGUACCUAAUCAGAAAGCCACGGCUAACUACGUGCCAGCAGCCGCGGUAAUACGUAGGUGGCAAGCGUUAUCCGGAAUUAUUGGGCGUAAAGCGCGCGUAGGCGGUUUUUUAAGUCUGAUGUGAAAGCCCACGGCUCAACCGUGGAGGGUCAUUGGAAACUGGAAAACUUGAGUGCAGAAGAGGAAAGUGGAAUUCCAUGUGUAGCGGUGAAAUGCGCAGAGAUAUGGAGGAACACCAGUGGCGAAGGCGACUUUCUGGUCUGUAACUGACGCUGAUGUGCGAAAGCGUGGGGAUCAAACAGGAUUAGAUACCCUGGUAGUCCACGCCGUAAACGAUGAGUGCUAAGUGUUAGGGGGUUUCCGCCCCUUAGUGCUGCAGCUAACGCAUUAAGCACUCCGCCUGGGGAGUACGACCGCAAGGUUGAAACUCAAAGGAAUUGACGGGGACCCGCACAAGCGGUGGAGCAUGUGGUUUAGUUCGAAGCAACGCGAAGAACCUUACCAAAUCUUGACAUCCUUUGACAGCUCUAGAGAUAGAGCCUUCCCCUUCGGGGGACAAAGUGACAGGUGGUGCAUGGUUGUCGUCAGCUCGUGUCGUGAGAUGUUGGGUUAAGUCCCGCAACGAGCGCAACCCUUAAGCUUAGUUGCCAUCAUUAAGUUGGGCACUCUAAGUUGACUGCCGGUGACAAACCGGAGGAAGGUGGGGAUGACGUCAAAUCAUCAUGCCCCUUAUGAUUUGGGCUACACACGUGCUACAAUGGACAAUACAAAGGGCAGCGAAACCGCGAGGUCAAGCAAAUCCCAUAAAGUUGUUCUCAGUUCGGAUUGUAGUCUGCAACUCGACUACAUGAAGCUGGAAUCGCUAGUAAUCGUAGAUCAGCAUGCUACGGUGAAUACGUUCCCGGGUCU